rnacentral:lncRNA from 1 species
AUGGAUAUUACAAUUCAGUAAUUUUAUACUCGGUACUCAUAUUAUAAAAUUUUAAUCCAGAACGGAUUAAUCCAAUAAUGAGGUUCCUUCUCCAUGCUUCGUUGCCCUCUAAGCUCCACAUCCACUCUGAAAUAACACACUCCUCCGACUUGCAUAGAAAAUUUGAAGUUUGAACUGAUUUACUUUCUGUCACAAGAAAAUUUACCGCAUCUGGGUACACGGCUAGCGAUACAGAAUAUAU